ACUUAAGUCUAAAACGCGAGAGAACAGAGAGAAAGAGGUGAGAGCAUUGGAUGAGCGCCAUAUUAUAGAAAGAAGAAAAAGAAAAAAAGGAGGACUUACCUUGCGGCGAUGGCUCUAAAACAGCCGCGCACAACGGUACAUCGCCAUUUCUCUCACGGUCCUAUCAAUGGGCUAAGCUAUGCCGCUGACCCUCUAAGGCAAAGUGCAUAUGAGCUCUACAUUCGUUUCUCCCUGAAAUCAUCGCGGUUAGAUCUGCAUUUUCUACGUUUUUUUGGGAGGCGCCUCUGCUGUCUUGGAAGACUGUUGGCUUUUCUUGGGUGUUUGCAGGAACUAGGCGUCAAUGUUUCCUCUUCCAGACAGCGAUCGGAGCUGGGUGGCACUGCUGACUGCUGCCUCUUCAUGGUUCUGUUGGUAGCCUAGGAUUUCUUGUGUGAUGAACUUGGGACUUAUCUGUUUUUAGGGCUAGCUUAAUUCUUUAGGGCCUCUAGUCCAUUGUGUUUCUUCUCUGUGGUUGAGCUGCUGUUGGAUCUGGCUUUGUAACCUUGGGCUGACAAUGAAACUUAUCUUCGAUUAAAAUUAAAAAAAAAAAAAAAAAAGAAGAAACUUCAUUGUGAUAUUAGUCGUUAUUGGAGUGGGUGAACUGCUCGCAUCACCACAUGAUACCAUAGUGAUAAGAGAGGUGCCACGUAGAGUGAGUUUUUCUCCUAAAUCAAAGCCAAGAAACCCUAACUCUUCCCAUUUUCAGAAAUUUCUCCAUCAUUUCUUUACAACCCACGACAAUUUGCUUAUUUUGAAUCACAGAGAGGAAGCAAAAGGCAAACCCAGAAAUGGGUUACGUAAUAGUGGUGUCAUUGCCAUUGAUACUGUUUAUAAUAAUAUUGGCCCUUGCAUGUUACCUUCUUGGUAGGAAUUGGGGUAGAAGACAAGCUGCAGCUGCUCGAAUUCCUCAAUAUUACGGGCCUUCUGCCCCUCCUCCUCGAGCCCAACCUCCUCCCAUGGAUAAGCCAUCUGAGGUUUAGAUUUGCUUAUAUUCGUGUUUCCAUAUCUUAUAUGCUUCACUUUAUGCUUGUAUACUGUGUAUUUAAAUCAAAAGUAGACGAACGCGAUUGUACAUAUUACUUGUUUUUCUAUAAGUUUUAGAUAUUUGGAUAAGGUUGUCACAGUUAGUCAAUCGAUGAUCAGACUUUUUUUUCUUUAAAGAAUCCAAUUUGAUUAUUGAACCAACUUCA